GCCGAAAGGCUGAACCAGUAACUUGGAAGAAUGUAAAUGUAUUCAAGAAAUACAAUAACGAUUAACUCGUAUAAAAUUCUAAAUAGGAUAAUGAUAAUGACAAUUUCCUAUUUAUAAGUCUUGACCAAAUUACGUGCCAGCAGUCGCGGUAAUACGUAGAAGACUAGUGUUAGUCAUCUUUAUUAGGUUUAAAGGGUACCUAGACGGUAAAUUAAACUCUAAAUGAGUACUUUUUUACUAGAGUUUUAUGUGAGAAGGAAGAACUUCUGGAGUAGGGAUAAAAUACGCAAAUACCAGAAGGACUGAUAACGGCGAAGGCGUCCUUCUAUGUAAAAACUGACGUUGAGGGACGAAGGCUCGGGUAGCGAUAAGGAUUAGAUACCCUAGUAGUCCAAGCAGACAAUGAUGAAUGUCAUAGACUAGAUUUAAUAUUUAGUCUAUAAAUGAAAGUGUAAGCAUUCCACCUCAAGAGUAAUAUGGCAACAUAUAAACUGAAAUCAUUAGACCGUUUCUGAAACCAGUAGUGAAGUAU
rnacentral:rRNA from 1 species